rnacentral:rRNA from 1 species
GUGGGGAAUAUUGCACAAUGGGCGAAAGCCUGAUGCAGCAACGCCGCGUGAGGGACGACGGCCUUCGGGUUGUAAACCUCUUUUAGUAGGGAAGAAGCGAAAGUGACGGUACCUGCAGAAAAAGCACCGGCUAACUACGUGCCAGCAGCCGCGGUAAUACGUAGGGUGCAAGCGUUAUCCGGAAUUAUUGGGCGUAAAGAGCUCGUAGGCGGUCUGUCGCGUCUGCUGGGAAAACUGGAGGCUCAACCUCCAGCCUGCAGUGGGUACGGGCAGAGUAGAGGGCGGUAGGGGAGAUUGGAAUUCCUGGUGUAGCGGUGGAAUGCGCAGAUAUCAGGAGGAACACCGAUGGCGAAGGCAGAUCUCUGGGCCGUAACUGACGCUGAGGAGCGAAAGCGUGGGGAGCGAACAGGAUUAGAAACCCUUGUAGUCC